AGGAGCUGAGCUGGAGGUAAAGCCAGUGCCCACCACCCAGACCCACACCUCCCCAACCCCAAGGGAGAAAGGUAAUUUACUUAGGCAAGAGCCAGGUGAGCUACUGGAUCAGUGUUAAAACUCCAAGCAGCCCCUGCAUAGUGGAUAGCUUGUAGGUGAAGAUGGAGAAUGGGAAGAAGGCCCACCUCUCCCUCAAUAGGCAGCUCCUUCCCACUUUUGGGAUGGAGAAUAGCUGCGGUUGAGUUUGGCUUGGGAGGCUCAGUGAGUUAGUUAGGACCCCACCCCACAUAAUUCAGAGUGUGUGAGGCUGGGUGCAGUGGCUUACGCCUGUAAUCCCAGUACUUUGGGAGGCCAAGGU
rnacentral:lncRNA from 10 species